GAAUAUUGGACAAUGGGCGAAAGCCUGAUCCAGCAAUGCCGCGUGAGUGAUGAAGGCCUUAGGGUUGUAAAGCUCUUUUACCAGGGAUGAUAAUGACAGUACCUGGAGAAUAAGCUUCGGCUAACUCCGUGCCAGCAGCCGCGGUAAUACGGAGGGAGCUAGCGUUGUUCGGAAUUACUGGGCGUAAAGCGCGCGUAGGCGGCUUAUCAAGUCAGAGGUGAAAGCCCGGGGCUCAACCCCGGAACUGCCUUUGAAACUAGUAGGCUAGAAUCUUGGAGAGGUCAGUGGAAUUCCGAGUGUAGAGGUGAAAUUCGUAGAUAUUCGGAAGAACACCAGUGGCGAAGGCGACUGACUGGACAAGUAUUGACGCUGAGGUGCGAAAGCGUGGGGAGCAAACAG
rnacentral:rRNA from 1 species